GAGUGGGCUGUUUAAAAGGAAACGAAAUGGUCUUGAGUGGGCUGUUUGGUAAGUGGAUUAAAAUGAAAAGAAAUGGGCUUAAGUGGAAAAGAAGGGAAUAGUAGCAGAUCUGGGAGAAAAGGGGCGGCGGCACUGUAGAAAAUCGCACCUCGCCGGAGCUUUGACCGGCCGUUUGGGUGGUCAAACGACCUCCGUUUCAACUCAGAUUUGGAGGGGGUGUUCUACUCGACGAGGGGAACAAUCCUACGGCGGCCAAUCGUAUUUUUAGCGGCUGAAUUCUUAGAUCUGUGGUAGGGGACCCUAAGCCUAAAACUUAAAUUUUUAUGUUUUUCCCUUGAAAAAAAAAAUUGUAAAUAUUGUCAUUAUGAGUUAAUUAGGAAUUAUGGGGGUUGUAUGAAUUUUUCUAGAAUAUUUGGAAUUUGUUUGGAAUUUUUGUAAUU
rnacentral:lncRNA from 1 species